GUGGGGAAUAUUGGACAAUGGGCGAAAGCCUGAUCCAGCCAUGCCACGUGUGUGAAGAAGGUCUUCGGAUUGUAAAGCACUUUAAGUUGGGAGGAAGGGCAGUAAGUUAAUACCUUGCUGUUUUGACGUUACCGACAGAAUAAGCACCGGCUAACUUCGUGCCAGCAGCCGCGGUAAUACGAAGGGUGCAAGCGUUAAUCGGAAUUACUGGGCGUAAAGCGCGCGUAGGUGGUUUUGUAAGUUGGAGGUGAAAUCCCCGGGCUCAACCUGGGAACUGCAUCCGAAACUGCAUGACUAGAGUACGGUAGAGGGUAGUGGAAUUUCCUGUGUAGCGGUGAAAUGCGUAGAUAUAGGAAGGAACACCAGUGGCGAAGGCGACUACCUGGACUGAUACUGACACUGAGGUGCGAAAGCGUGGGGAGCAAACAGGAUUAGAUACCCCGGUAGUCC
rnacentral:rRNA from 1 species